AUGUUUUCUACACUUUCUUUACCUAUUUGUGUUUUCACAUGUGAAAAAGAAGUGAACCUCUCCAUGGAUUUUUUUUCUCUUACUUGCCUACAAAAUGAGCCACUUCAGGAUUUACAAUGA
rnacentral:rRNA from 1 species